UGGCGGAGGAAGUGCGCGGGCCGGCGGGAGCGGCGAGCUCCGGACUGCGGAGCCGGCAUCCCGCGCCCGCACCGGCAGCCAGGAGCCCCGCAGCGCCCGCCGCACCGGCCCCUCGGUCCCCGAGGGCCAGGGACUUGGGCUGCGAAGCCUGCCCUCCUCCCGAGGCCGCAGAGCAGGGUCACCGCCGGCAAGAAGCCCGAGGCACGUCGGGGGCGGCGGCGGCGGCGAUCCCGUUCUCCUCCCGGUUACCUGUGAGGACUCCGACGCGGAUUUGAUGGUCGUGGUUCGUGAGGAUCAUCCCCUCGGUCGCCAUGUUUCCCAGCGCAGUCACCGCACUGACAGGAGCCGGGAGAAGCGGGAGCUCGGAGCGCGCGGCCGGGAGCGCGCCCGCCGGGGACCGCGCGAGACCGCGAGCGCGAGGUGAGCGCGAGGGAAGGAGUGGGGGGGAGGCGGCCGCGACCGGUCCGCUUGCGCCUGUGAGAGGCCGCGCCGGCAGCGCGCGAGGCCGCGGGACGGGGCGGAGUCCGGGCGCGCGACCCCGAGGCCGGUGCGAGGCGGCGAGCGCGAGGGGCACACGCUGUGGCCGCCGGAGGGGGAGUGCGCGGAGGUGUCGGUCCGGGCGGAGAGUCCGAGGCCGCUCUGCCGAGCGCGAGAGCCCGGGCGGCUGGAUAGCUAGAGACUGAAGGGAACGGAGAGCACGCGCUCGGAGCUUGCGGGGGCGGACUCGGGGCCGGGGCGGAGCUACACCGCGAGGCGUGGAACUCGUGGAGAGUGAGGGGAGGAGGGGGAGCCGGCCGGACCGGCCCUGCCCGGGGGACGCUCGGGACACGCGAGUAGCGCCGGAUUGGCUGGGAGCAGGCGGCGCGGUGCGCGCGAGACCCGAACGCCGCCUCCGCGAGCGCCAGACAGAAGCAAUCCCCUGCCGAGCCGCGCUGGCGGGGCCUCUGGCCGGCUUGGCUGGGCUGCGGAGCGCUCUCCUGCGCGGGUUUGGGAAGGAGUUAGCGCCUGGGGCCGCUCCUCGCAACCCCCAGGAACUGCCGGCCGACCCCGGGAAGGCGCCAGGGGACCUGGAGGUAGCGUAGGAAGCUGCGUGGGUGGCAGAACGGCGGCCACUAGGACGGAGAUGGUGCCGUGGGCCUUGGAGGAGGAGGUCUGUCCUGCCUCGUCUUCCCCCUGGCUUCCUCCUCCCGCGGCGGUGCUCCAGGACCCGGGUCCAAGUGUGUCCACGGGGCGACCUUCCUGAACUCGGGAAUCUGCAGCGGAGCCACGCGAGUGCAGAUACCUGGCUGCUCUUCCUCCUGCUGCCAGCCCUUGGUUUUGUGGCUUCUUCGCCACGGCCUCUGCUUUCAAAUGAAAAGCACCAGUCUUGGUGCGAAGGUGUUCCUCCCACCCGAACCCUGCCAGAAAAGUGGAAAUAGAACCCAGGCCAUGGCAACUGAGUUUCAUUUUAGUAUUUGUGGGAGAUGACCAUGAAAAGAGCUUUUGUUACUUUUUUCCCCAGCCGCGGUAAAACCUGAGAAGCUUAGAAAUGAAAAGCAAAGUGUCCAAAAUGUAUAAUCACCGUUUGUACACAAUUAAAAUCUGUCAGUUUGAUGGCUAUGAGUUUAUUGUUCCAAUUGGAACAUAGACUUAUCCUCUGAGUCACAUUGUUAUGUAUUUCACGUUAAAUAAUGGAGUACAAAGGAGAUGAUGGAUGGAAUUGAGGUGGGAUAAAAUAAACUUGUAAAAAAAA